AGAACGAACGCUGGCGGCAUGCCUAACACAUGCAAGUCGAACGAGACCUUCGGGUCUAGUGGCGCACGGGUGCGUAACGCGUGGGAAUCUGCCCUUGGGUUCGGGAUAACAGUUGGAAACGACUGCUAAUACCGGAUGAUGUCUUCGGACCAAAGAUUUAUCGCCCAAGGAUGAGCCCGCGUAGGAUUAGCUUGUUGGUGAGGUAAGAGCUCACCAAAGGCGACGAUCCUUAGCUGGUCUGAGAGGAUGAUCAGCCACACUGGGACUGAGACACGGCCCAGACUCCUACGGGAGGCAGCAGUGGGGAAUAUUGGACAAUGGGCGAAAGCCUGAUCCAGCAAUGCGCGUGAGUGAUGAAGGCCUUAGGUUGUAAAGCUCUUUUACCGGAUGAUAAUGACAGUACGGAGAAGUAAGCCCGGACUAACUCCGCGCCCAGCAGCCGAC
rnacentral:rRNA from 1 species